AAGCCACGAACGGAUCCGCUCUUGCCGCAUGCAUCCAAAAGCCACGCCCAACUAAUCCACCUCUGUCGCACGCCAACUCUCGUACUCAUCCUUAUCCUCUCGUCGCUCACUCCUGCAGUCGUUUCUCACCUCCCUCACUCCUGCAACCAGGACGGGCGUUGCACAGUUAAUGUCGCCUCGCCCACCUUCCGGUGCUCCCUCUCUCUCUCCCUCCCUCCCUGCUCCUACGACCUCCAUGCCACCGAGAGAGCGAUUGCGGAGGCUUUUCGGCAAGCGGCGCCUCUCUCCUUCUCUGCCUCCCUCCCCUCGCUCUGGUGAUCUCCAUGGCAACGGAGAAAAGCACGACGGCGAUGGCUUCCAGCAAGUGGGCUGAGAUCCUAUUUUCUUCUUCCUCCGGCGAGCUCGAAGGUGAUGGGCCAGGGCUAGAGAAUUCUACACCUCGAACCCAUCCCCUUGCUGUUUUGUAUGUUUUUUUUCUGUUUCUUCGUGUUGUAAUUGAUUUUUGGGGAUGUUGCAAAAGAUGAUUUCAAAUGUUGCAAUAGGUGUGAAGCAUGUGUUGCAGAAAGAGAGGACUGUUGUUGAGAUUGCUGCAGUAGGGGAUUUUCAAUUAUUGAAAUUAUCUUUUACAAAUAUUGCAACACUAAAAGCCAUCUUUCUGCAGUCACCUGUUGCAACUGCUGGCCAUGUGCGCGCGCGUGAGCAGCGGAGCAGGUGCGAGCGAGAACUCCCCGGGUGCAGUCGAGGCAACAUGGGAUAGAGUCCAAGAGGGGUGAGUCCGCGUUGACGGAAGCGGGAGAGGGUGCGAGCGAGGACUCCCCCAGGUGCAGUCGAGGCAGCACGGGAUGAGGUCCAAGUGGUGUGAGCGCGCGUGGACGGAAGCGGGAUGCAGUUGUACGUAGAGAGUUGAGUAUAGGUCUGGCCGUCCGGACGUGUGCGUCGCUCCGGACGUCCGGGCGCUAGCACUACCGUAUUACUAUUGCUACUACCUUCUCCCUUGUACUAGGUUGUGCGUUAAUUGAGCAUGAUGGUAAGUGAAUUACCUAGACCUAGUUAUAAUGCACGCCAUGAUAUAGUACUCCCUA